rnacentral:lncRNA from 1 species
GAAUGAUUUUGGACCAAGGACAUCUUCAGACACUGUGGAAUAUGCCCUAGGAACAAAUCUGCCACCUGUGAAGAAAUACUGAUCUAGAGAACACUGUGGUCUCUUAGGAUCCCAGUGAUAAUUGUCACCAUGAUGAAGUGACAUGAACAACCAGCUCAGGUAUGUUUCCUUGGGUAUAUUCCCACAAUAUCAUUAUUUGCUCC